GCGCGGGGCACUGUCUGGGUGUGCGGCGCUGAUGGCAACAUGAUGAUUUGUGUGCGCGACAUUAUCGGUGCGCGCGACACUGAUGGGGUUGACCAGCCGCUGGCAUUGAUUAUCGGUGGGGCGACAGAGGCGCAUGCUCGCUUGUCACUUGGCGCUGCCGAGACCACGGGGCCGACCGUGGCGCUAGGCGUUGGGAGGCUUGCCGGGACGCCACGGGGCGCGUCCAAGGGGUCAUGGGUCGAUGAUGGAAAGCAGCCCAUGACACUACAUAUGUAAAAGGAAAUAAAGCCAAUGCUACAAACAAAAUAAAAACAAAGAAUAACAUGGGCUAUCGAAAGUACAAAAUGAGAAUAAACAAAAUAACUGAACUAUCAAUUUUAAUAAACCAGAAACCUAAACCAUAUAGAUGAAUCAUCACUUAAGAAAGAGACAAACAUUGUGAUAAUAUUAACGCAUACAUUAUCUUCAUACUUAGGUUUAUUGUAAACAAAAACAAAUAUUCAAAUUACCUUUCCUGAACAGAAAAAUCAAAAACAAAUUGUGCAGAGCAAAUUUUUUUCAGGUAAGAUAGUAAAAGAAAAUACAAAAAAAAGGUAUGAAAAAAAUCAAAGAAUAAGAUAUACCAAUUCAAAACACGGCUUGAACCUGAUACAAUUUCAGGACGAUAAUCAUUAAGAAGCACCUAAGACGACCGCUUGAAAACUAUAACUAAACUGCAUUAUAAUGCAAUUUUGCUCAAUGAAUCAACACCAUUUAAACACCUAAUAAGCCGCAAUAUACAAAACGAAUUCAUGAAAACUAAAUAACACUACUAUGGAAAACCUAUACUGUUUUUUAAAAAACUCUUUAAUGCCACAUGAAUUCCAUGGAAUGAAGUUUCAGAUUUGUUUUCACCAUUAAAUUUCACUAUUGACACAUCAGAAUGAUAAAAAAGUGUUCAACCUGAAGUUUAAUUUGAUAUUUGAAUUUUGAGAAGUUAAUAUAUAUAAAAUAAUUGGGAUGGAGAAGUAGCACCAUAGAAUCCAGAGAUAUAGCCCCAAAAUAAAUAUAUCUCAGUAAGCAAAACGUGCAAACCAAAUUAAAGUUAUAAUUAUCAAUAGAAAAAGUUUCAUCCUUCACUUCAAGAACAUGAAUUAUUCUGACAAAAUCCUAAAAGUUAGAGAUAGAGAUAGAGGUGUAUAAAGAGAAAUUAAGAGAAAGAUAUAAAACUAAUAGAUAGAAAUCAUACCUUUCAGUUGGCGACAAUUUUGGUUGCUAGAGGUGGAAGUUUUGUUACACCAUGAAAAUUGUAAAAGCUUUUUUAAGAAUGAGACCUAAUUCUUAGAGGCGUAGGUUUUCCUUUUUUCAGGCAAAUCAGAGAAGUGAUAUAUUGUUUAGGUGGGAGAAUACUUAGAGGGGAAAAA
rnacentral:lncRNA from 1 species